AGUGAACGCUAGCGGUGCGCCUAACACAUGCAAGUCGAACGCGAUCUACCAUGAACUUUGAAGUGCUUGCACGGAAGAGGAAUUGGAUUCUAGAUUGAGUGGCGAACGGGUGAGUAACACGUUGGCAUCUGCCCCCAAGUCAGGGAUAGCCAUCCGAAAGGAUGAUUAAUACCGGAUAGUCUCUUCGGAGUAAAAAUUUAUUGCUUGGGGAGGAGCCUGCGGUCUAUCAGCUUGUUGGUGAGGUAAUAGCUCACCAAGGCUAUGACGGAUAACUGGUCUGAGAGGAUGACCAGUCACAAUGGGACUGAGACACGGCCCAUACUCCUACGGGAGGCAGCAGUGAGGAAUCUUCCACAAUGGACGAAAGUCUGAUGGAGCGACACCGCGUGAAGGAUGACGGUCUAACGAUUGUAAACUUCUUUUCUGAAGGAGCAUAAUGAGAGUACUUCAGGAAUAAGGGACGGCUAAUUACG
rnacentral:rRNA from 1 species